CCCCUACGGGACGCAGCAGUGGGGAAUAUUGCACAAUGGGGGGAACCCUGAUGCAGCGACGCCGCGUGGGUGAAGGAGCGUUUCGGCGCGUAAAGCCCUAUCGGCAGGGAAGAAAAUGACGGUACCUGAGUAAGAAGCCCCGGCUAACUACGUGCCAGCAGCCGCGGUAAUACGUAGGGGGCAAGCGUUAUCCGGAUUUACUGGGUGUAAAGGGAGCGUAGACGGCAGUGCAAGUCUGGAGUGAAAGGCGGGGGCUCAACCCCCGGACUGCUCUGGAAACUGUACGGCUGGAGUGCCGGAGAGGG
rnacentral:rRNA from 1 species